rnacentral:tRNA from 1 species
GGGGUUGUGGCUAAGUGGUAGAGCACUCACCUAGCAUGUGUGAGGCACUGGGUUCAAUCCUCAGCACCACA